AGCCGAGCAAUGCAAAGUGCUAACAGUUGAAGGCAGGUAGAUAUUUUCUUUGUUCAGCAAUAACUUGGAGAGAUACCGUGCAGAUGCAGUAAUAUCUACUUGGGUUGCUACAAAACGAAAAUUUAAUUUGAUUUUUAUUAAAAUUUAAUGAAAGAUUUGUCUAAUUAACACUCCAAAAUGGUGUAGUGAAUUCCUAUGUUUUGUAUCACUAUUCUGAUUAUCAAAAUCCUUCAUAUUUAUUUUAUUUUA